rnacentral:rRNA from 1 species
AACGAACGCUGGCGGCAUGCCUAACACAUGCAAGUCGAACGAGACCUUCGGGUCUAGUGGCGCACGGGUGCGUAACGCGUGGGAACCUGCCCUUAGGUUCGGAAUAACUCCCCGAAAGGGGUGCUAAUACCGGAUAAUGUCUUCGGACCAAAGAUUUAUCGCCUUUGGAUGGGCCCGCGUUGGAUUAGCUAGUUGGUAGGGUAAAAGCCUACCAAGGCGACGAUCCAUAGCUGGUCUGAGAGGAUGAUCAGCCACACUGGGAUUGAGACACGGCCCAGACUCCUACGGGAGGCAGCAGUGGGGAAUAUUGGACAAUGGGCGAAAGCCUGACCCAGCAAUGCCGCGUGAGUGAUGAAGGCCUUAGGGUUGUAAAGCUCUUUUACCCGGGAUGAUAAUGACAGUACCGGGAGAAUAAGCUCCGGCUAACUCCGU